UACGUAGGGGGCAAGCGUUGUCCGGAAUCAUUGGGCGUAAAGAGCGUGUAGGCGGCCCGGUAAGUCCGCUGUGAAAGUCCAGGGCUCAACCCUGGGAUGCCGGUGGAUACUGUCGGGCUCGAGUCCGGAAGAGGAGUGUGGAAUUCCUGGUGUAGCGGUGAAAUGCGCAGAUAUCAGGAGGAACACCAAUGGCGAAGGAAGCACUCUGGGACGUGACUGACGCUGAGACGCGAAAGCGUGGGGAGCAAACAGG
rnacentral:rRNA from 1 species